rnacentral:lncRNA from 1 species
AUGGGGGAUCUCUCCUUCGCGGACAAGUGGGAUUUCUCACUGGGAUUGGAUUUUGCCUCCCAGAUUUGGUCUCGUCUCCGAUCACCGGAUUCCAUUCUUGAUCCUAAUCGGCCUUCCGUUCUUCCUGUGAGGAAAUUAGUUUUUGACUGUCUGGAUUUUCCUAGACGAAAUGUUGUUCAAGUUUCUGGCAGUAAUUUGCUUCACGAUGGAUCUUCGUCCAAGGCGGGAUCUUUGGGCUCUUUCAAAUGUUCAAAGUGUCUUGCUACCGGUCAUUCUAGGUCUGAUUGUCACUUCCGUGUUUGUUUCAAAGCCUGCUUUGCUUAUGGGCAUAAGGCCCGUUACUGUUUGGCCCAGAGUAAGAAGAAGGCCUUGACGAAGUGGGUAGUUAAGGGGAGCACCGGGAAUAAAACAAUGGGCUUGUUUGCAGUUCAUUCUCCUCUGGUUAGGGAUACCUUGGUCGAGGCUUUUGGUUUCCAAUACAGUAAGUUCCACACUGUUCACUUCCGCCAUCAUGAUAGGGGUUCUAACUGGCGGGCGGCUCAUACAAACCGAAGAGGUUGGGUGAUGUUUUUGGGUUAUCCGCUUGAUUUCCGUAAUCAGCAUUACAUCAAUAAAGAGGUGAGCCUUUUUGGUCGAUUGGUGGAUUGGCAGGAGAGGGAUCCCAUUCCAGGUAGUGUUAUGCUCAGAGCUGUGUUUGAUGACAUUGACGCAGUACCGAGAGUAUUUUUACUCAAGGAGUUGCCCCUGAGAGGUGGCCUAGGACAGUCAUGGACCUUUGGGGUCUUUGUUCUCAACACUGAAUUUGCUGACAUUCAUCUUGGUGAUGAAGACCUCCCUCCUUUGAUGGUUCACCUUCAAGAACCUACGCAACAGCAUAACGAUCACAUGGAUAUGCAGCCAGAUGCUCCACCACAACAUGAUCAGCCCUGGGGGAAUUGGGAUCAGCAAGGGGAGAAUAACCCUGAAAAUACUGGAAACUCAGGAAUAAGUGCUGGCCCCAACCAAAAUUUGGCCAUGUCUAUUUUGGAGAAUGAAGCUUCCCCUGUGUUCUUUGUGCUAGAUUCUGUUCAGGGCAAAAUCCAAGAAGUAGUCCUUAGGAAUCAGUUGCCCCUGGUGGUCGUUCAACCUUUGGGCCAUGAUGAGGAUAUGGACCAUGACAUGGGCUCUCCCCUGGGCCAUGAUGAGAUCUUUGAUGUUCAACCCUUGGCAAUUUCAGAGCCACUAGACCAGGCCCAGCCCAAGAGCCCACCAAGAAUCGGACCAGUGCCUCUCCUGUUAGAACCCCCAAGAGCAUCAGUUAAGAAGAGAGAUGGCAAGACUGUCAUGUUUGAUCCUGACAGGAGGCAGAGUUCUCGGUUGAGAUCUUCAAGUCAAGAGCUCACUCAACCUGACCCUAGAAUGGGCAUAGGGAAGCCGAGGGGAAAGUCUGCCAAAAAACUGAAAGAGCUGGUAGGUAUCUCAAACAUUUUAACUGGCAAUAGUUCUUUAUCGGCUUCUGAUUUUCAUUCUGAUUUAGAUGAAGAAUGUUUCUCUACAUCUGAUUCCUCUCCUUCUGACUGUUCAAUAUCUUUACUCGUGUCAUUAGUACCAUUUCCCUGGAUCAAGUAGUCUGGUACUC